rnacentral:rRNA from 1 species
AUUGAACGCUGGCGGCAUGCCUUACACAUGCAAGUCGAACGGCAGCAUGGAGGAGCUUGCUCCUCUGAUGGCGAGUGGCGAACGGGUGAGUAAAGCAUCGGAACGUACCGUGUAGUGGGGGAUAACGUAGCGAACGUGACGCUAAUACCGCAUACGCACUGCGGUGGCAAGGAGGGGAUCGUAAGACCUUGCGCUAUAAGAGCGGCCGAUGUCAGAUGAGAUAGUUGGUAGGGUAAAGGACUACCAAGGCGACGAUCUGUAGCGGGUCUGAGAGGAUGAUCCGCCGCACUGGGAAUGAGACACGGCCCAGACUCCUACGGGAGGCAGCAGUGGGGAAUUUUGGACAAUGGGGGAAACCCUGAUCCAGCCAUGCCGCGUGAGUGAAGAAGGCCUUCGGGUUGUAAAGCUCUUUCGGCCGGGAAGAAAUCGCACAGGCUAAUACUCUGUGUGGAUGACGGUACCGGCAUAAGAAGCACCGGCUAACUACGUGCCAGCCGCCGCAGUAAUAC